UACAGAGGGUGCGAGCGUUAAUCGGAAUUACUGGGCGUAAAGCGCGCGUAGACGGUUUUGUAAGUCAGAUGUGAAAUCCCUGGGCUCAACCUGGGAACUGCAUUUGAAACUGCAUGGCUAGAGUAUGGAAGAGGGAAGUGGAAUUUCCGGUGUAGCGGUGAAAUGCGUAGAUAUCGGAAGGAACACCAGUGGCGAAAGCGGGUCUCUGGACAGUUCCUGACGCUGAGGCACGAAGGCCAGGGGAGCAAACGGG
rnacentral:rRNA from 1 species